UCCCUGGUGGUCCAGUGGCUAGGACUUCAUGCUUCCACUGCAGGGGGACACAGGUUCAAUCCCUGGUCAGGGAA
rnacentral:tRNA from 1 species